rnacentral:rRNA from 1 species
ACGCUCGACACCUACGGAGGCAGCAGUGGGGAAUAUUGCACAAUGGGGGAAACCCUGAUGCAGCGACGCCGCGUGAAGGAUGAAGUAUUUCGGUAUGUAAACUUCUAUCAGCAGGGAAGAAAAUGACGGUACCUGACUAAGAAGCCCCGGCUAACUACGUGCCAACAGCCGCGGUAAUCUGAGCGGGCUGGCAAGGC